GUCUACAGCUAUGCCAUCCUGAACGUGCCCGAUCUCCUCUGAUCUCAGAAGCUAAGCAGGGUCGGGCCUGGUUAGUACUUGGAUGGGAGACCACUUAGGAAUACCAGGUACUGUAGGCA
rnacentral:rRNA from 1 species